rnacentral:rRNA from 1 species
UACGUAGGGCGCAAGCGUUGUCCGGAAUUAUUGGGCGUAAAGAGCUCGUAGGCGGCCUGUUGCGUCCGCUGUGAAAUCCCGGGGCUCAACCCCGGGCCUGCAGUGGAUACGGGCUGGCUGGAGGCAGGCAGGGGAGAAUGGAAUUCCCGGUGUAGCGGUGAAAUGCGCAGAUAUCGGGAGGAACACCGGUGGCGAAGGCGGUUCUCUGGGCCUGACCUGACGCUGAGGAGCGAAAGCGUGGGGAGCGAACAGG